rnacentral:piRNA from 1 species
UCCGAUUUGGCAUUUCAGAUUUGGCCUUGAC